rnacentral:rRNA from 1 species
GCUGAAUGUGGGGAUAAUUUAUCUCUGUGUUGAAGCUAACGCGUUAAGCACUCCGCCUGGGGACUACGGUCGCAAGACUAAAACUCAAAGGAAUUGACGGGGACCCGCACAAGCGGUGGAGCAUGUGGUUUAAUUCGAUGCAACGCGAAAAACCUUACCACUCCUUGACAUGGAGAUUAGAUCCUUCUUAACGGAAGGGCGCAGUUCGGCUGGGUCUCGCACAGGUGCUGCAUGGCUGUCGUCAGCUCGUGUCGUGAGAUGUUGGGUUAAGUCCCGCAACGAGCGUAACCCUCAUCCUUAGUUGCCAGCGGAUAAUGCCGGGUACUUUAAGGAAACUGCCGGUGGUAAACCGGAGGAAGGUGGGGAUGAUGUCAAGUCAGCACGGCCCUUAUGGGGUGGGCUACACACGUGCUACAAUGGUGACUACAAUAGGUUGCAACGCCGCAAGGCUGAGCCAAUCCAUAAAAGUCAUCUCAGUUCGGAUUGUCCUCUGUAACUCGAGGGCAUGAAGUCGGAAUCGCUAGUAAUCGUGGAUCAGCAUGCCACGGUGAAUACGUUCUCGGGUCUUGUACACACUGCCCGUCACGCCAUGAGAAUUGGCUUAACUCGAAGCUGGUGCGCUAACCGAAAGGAAGCAGCCAU